rnacentral:rRNA from 1 species
UCGGGGCACGAGAACCCUUUCAGGGGCCGUUCCCUUACCGAACACGGAAGUCAAGUUUUUCAGCGCUGAUGGUACUUGGGGAUACCCCCUGGGAGAGUAAGACGUUGCCGGAAAC